rnacentral:rRNA from 1 species
AUGGGGGAGCGCGGUGGGGGGAGAUCCGGAGGGUGGCGGGACAACAUGGCGCGGGGCAGAUUCGGCGGGGGACGCAAGGCUCCGCUGCCAAAUCAGCCUCGUCAUAUGGUUUGGCAGCGGCCAGAUCCACCACCACCGGCGACUGGUAGUUCGAGAUCUGGCGGUGGCGAGGUCGGGGACAGAUGGGAAGCCGCCGCGCGGGCCAUGAGCGGAGCGGCCAAGGAGACGACGACAGGUGCCAAGGAGCCACCUCCACAUCCCCCACCUCCACCUCCAUCGACUGGGCAAGCUGCAACCAAAAGCACCAACGAGAUCUGCAUCAACUGCUCCCUCUCAGAUUAUGUCACAUGGCCAUCCGUGCCUCGUAUUGUUCCUCUCGAGGAAGGGUCUAUGGAAGGGGGAGAAAACUGUAGCACUUAUACAGUUGAGCCCCCAUCUGGGUCACCAACUCAUGAUAAAAUGAUCUAUGAGGAAUAUGCCCCACGUAGACAGAUGCAGAAACUGGAAAAAGUAGAGGAGGUGGCCACCAACAGGAUGAGGAAGCGAGACGCUGAAGGUAUGAAAAUACCAAGCUCAAAAAACUAG